rnacentral:lncRNA from 1 species
GGCAGAGUAAAGAGCUAAACAACAGCUGAGAUUAACUGUGGAUGAGACAGUUUGAUCACUCACAAAUCAUUUUUUAAUUUUUCAUUCAUACUUAAUGCCAAACCUUAUGCUAGCCCUCCUCCCCUAUGUGUGGACAGUAGCGUGAGCAAAAACAUGGGACCUACAUCUUAGUUGGGGAGACAGACAAAAAAGUGUAUUACAACAUGUAAAGUAUUAUGGAGAAAACAGGGUGCUGACACAGGCCUACCUUUAAUUGUCACUAUUAGGUAGGGUGUUCAGGCUCAGAUGUAAACUGACACCUGAGUAUGAGAAGAAGCCAGCUUUGCAGGGUGCGCCCAGGCUGUGUCCUAGGGCAGAAAAGAACACGGGGGUUCCAGAGACAGCGAAGUAGGCCACAGUGAGACUGGCUGGGGGGAAAUGGGGAGAUUAUAUAAAAUGAAGAAAGAUUUUGAUUGAAAAGUUCAAUGGGAAGCCAGCACAAGUGUUUUAAGCAGAAGAAUGACUGAUUGCUGUUUUUAUUAGAUCACUCAGGCUGCUAUGUGGAAAACAGAUUAGCAGUAAGGGGGAGGUCAACAGAGGAAGUAGGGAGAUGAGUUGAAAGUACAGAAGUGUUAUACACCAAUUAGUUACUUAAAAUAAUUAGUGGGAAUUUUAAGUUGAGCAUCUGAGAGAUCGACAAAAGCUAGAUUUCAUUCAUAAGCAGGCUCAAGGAC